rnacentral:rRNA from 1 species
UAUAAGUACACGCCUUAAAAAGGUGAAACCGCGAACGGCUCAUUACAACAGCUAUAAUCUACUCGGUCUUGAACAGUUACUCGGAUAACUGUGGUAAUUCUAGAGCUAAUACGUGCACCGAUGCUGUCCCUCGCGGGGCAGUGCAUUUGUUGGAGCAAAACCAGGCGGCUUCGGCCGUUUUUGCUGACUCAGAACAACUUAGCUGAUCGCAUGGGCUUGUCCCGGCGACGUACCGUCCGAGUGUCUGCCUUAUCAACUUUCGAUGGUAGUGUACGUGACUACCAUGGUUGUGACGGGUAACGGAGGAUAAGGGUUCGACUCCGGAGAAGGGGCCUGAGAAAUGGCCACUACGUCUAAGGAUGGCAGCAGGCGCGCAAAUUACCCACUCUCGGUUCGAGGAGGUAGUGACGAAAAAUAACAAGGCUGUUCUCUACGAGGCCAGCCAUUGGAAUGGGUACAACACAAACCCUUUAACGAGUAUCAAUGAGAGGGCAAGUCUGGUGCCAGCAGCCGCGGUAAUUCCAGCUCUCAAAAUGCAUAGAACCAUUGCUGCGGUUAAAAAGCUCGUAGUUGGAUCUGUGCCGGCGACGUGGUCCACCCGAAAGGGCGGCACUGCGCUCGUCGGCUUUGGGCCGGUCUUCGUGCGGUCGCCUUCAUCGGUGGCCGUGCGUGGCUGGCUGGUUUACUUUGAGCAAAUCAGAGUGCUCAGCACAGGCGUUUCGCCGGAAUGUUCGUGCAUGGAAUAAUAGAAAAGGAUUUCGGUCCUCUUUUAUUGGUUUUGUGGACUGAGAUAAUGGUUAACAGAGACGAACGGGGGCAUUCGUAUUGCUGCGUGAGAGGUGAAAUUCUUGGACCGCAGCAGGACGGACUACAGCGAAAGCAUUUGCCAAGCGCGUCUUCAUUAAUCAAGAACGAAAGUCAGAGGUUCGAAGGCGAUCAGAUA